ACUCGAGUGGCGAACGGGUGAGUAACACGUGGGUGAUCUGCCCUGCACUUCGGGAUAAGCUUGGGAAACUGGGUCUAAUACCGGAUAGGAGCCAUCUUUAGUGUGGUGGUUGGAAAGUUUUUUCGGUGUAGGAUGAGCUCGCGGCCUAUCAACUUGUUGGUGGGGUAAUGGCCUACCAAGGCGGCGACGGGUAGCCGGCCUGAGAGGGUGACCGGCCACAUUGGGACUGAGAUACGGCCCAG
rnacentral:rRNA from 1 species